AGAGAAGGAAAAGAUAGAGAUGAUGAAAGCUGUUAGCUUCAUGUAUGUUCGUCCACCUGGUUAUAAUGCUGAAAGUGCCAAGGCUGCAGAGAUUGCUGAUGAGAGGAAAAGAGAUGAACAGGAUAAUCCUUCUCAGCACCCACAUGCUGAGGGAGCCUCCUCUACAAUGCUUCUAGAAUCAAUUCCUAGCAGAGAUCCCUUGGGAGAAGAAAAGAAGAAACCAAGGCCUAAAGAUGUUUUUGGUCGUCCGGUUCCAACUGAAGAAGAGUUUGAAGUCCUCAAAAAUGCUCCACGGAUGGAGACAGGUGUUCCUGCAAGGGUGAAGCCAUUUGGUAUUGAAGUACGCAAUGUGAAAUGUAUAAGAUGUGGCAAUUAUGGUCACCAAAGUGGUGAUCGUGAAUGUCCAUUGAAAGAUGCUAUAAUGCCUAAUGAAGAGAGCCGAUUAAAAAGAGAUGAUCCCUUGACUGCCAUCAUGGCUCACAUGGAUCCUGCUGAGCCAUUAAAAUGGGAGUUGAAGCAAAAACCAGGAAUGAGUCCUCCUCGUGGCGGUUUCAAUCUAGAUGAUCCCAAUCAGCAAAUUGUUGCUGAGGAUAUAUUUGAUGAAUAUGGAGGGUUUCUCAGUGGUGAUAUCCCAGAGUUGCUGACCAACUUUUCCCCAAAGAAAUCUAGAAAGAAGUCAAAAAAGUGUAAACACAAGAGGGAUUCAUCACCGAGUAGAGAAUUUAGGGCUCCUGAAGAAAGUGGGUUGUCUUCACCUUCUGAUGAUAGAGAGAGGAGAUCAAAGAAGUCCAAGAAGAAGCUGAACCAUGCUGAAUCACCUUCAUUUGAUGAUUUGAACUUUGAUGGGCAUUCCAAGAAGAGCAGACACAAACAUUCUAAUUCAUCUAAAAAUUCUGAUGGGGACAGGCAUAAGAGGAGUAAAAGGAGCAGUUAUAAACAUUCUUAUUCUUCUGAUUCUGAUGGCCGCGACAGGCAUCAUAGAAGUACAAAGGGCACGCAAAAGCAUUCUAAUUUGUCUGAAGAAUCUGAUUCUGAUGAGCAUCACAGAAGUAAGAACCCAAGGAUGAAGCAUCAAUCUUCAUUUGAACAUUCUUCCCUUGAUAGGCAUCACAAAAUUGAAAAGAAGCAGAGGCAAUCUUACCAACAUUCAUAUGAUAAUUUUGAUUUUGAUGGCCAUCACAAAGGUAAACACCGUCCUCACAAUCGUCNAUCAUCAUUAAUCUCGUUUUUCGUCAAAUUGAGUUUGCAGGUGUCUUACCUUGCCAUUGAAAGUACAGGAAGAGCAAACUUUAAAGAAGCCUGUAAUCCACUCACGUGAAGUUGUUCUAAUGUGUCAGAAUGCUCAAUGUCAAUGCUUUAUUUUGAGUACAAUUAGGUUCACUUUUGUCAAUCUGUAUCAUAUGGUGGUUAGGAGCAUUCAAAUUAAGGAGCAUCAUAUUUAGUCGAGUCAAUACAAUGUAAUAAAUAGACUUCCCUGGCGGGACAAAGAUUC
rnacentral:misc_RNA from 1 species